rnacentral:rRNA from 1 species
UACGGGGGGUGCAAACGUUGCUCGGAAUUAUUGGGCGUAAAGCGCACGUAGGCGGUCCUGUAAGUCGGGUGUGAAAGCCCGGGGCUUAACCCCGGAAGUGCACUCGAAACUGUAGGGCUUGAGUAUGGAAGAGGGUCUCGGAAUUCCCGGUGUAGAGGUGAAAUUCGUAGAUAUCGGGAGGAACACCAGUGGCGAAGGCGGAGACCUGGGCCAAUACUGACGCUGAGGUGCGAAAGCGUGGGGAGCAAACAGG